GCCGGUGUAGUUCAACGGUUAGAACAAAGGACUCAUAAGCCUUGGACGGAAGUUCGACUCUUCCCACCGGCA
rnacentral:tRNA from 1 species